UAGGGAAUCUUCCACAAUGGGCGCAAGCCUGAUGGAGUAACACCGCGUGAGUGAAGAAGGGUUUCGGUUCGUAAAGCUCUGUUGUUAAAGAAGAACACGUAUGAGAGUAACUGUUCAUACGUUGACGGUAUUUAACCAGAAAGUCACGGCUAACUACGUGCCAG
rnacentral:rRNA from 1 species